rnacentral:rRNA from 1 species
UACGGAGGAUGCGAGCGUUAUCCGGAUUUAUUGGGUUUAAAGGGUGCGUAGGCGGGCGAAUAAGCGUGUGGUGAAAUGCCCCGGCUCAACCGGGGAACUGCCUCGCGAACUGUUCAUCUUGAAUGCUCCUGCCGUGGGAGGAAUGGGUAGUGUAGCGGUGAAAUGCAUAGAUAUUACCCUGAACACCGAUUGCGAAGGCAUCUCACGAAGGGGCAAUUGACGCUGAGGCACGAAAGCGUGGGGAUCGAAC